AGUAGAACGCCGAUUAUCCGAAUUAAUUGGGACCGGGGUCGAUUCGGAUAAUCGAAAAUUCGGAUAAUCGGACAUAGACUGGUAAUAAAGAAAAACGAACUGACACACAUAGAAUAAACUUUAUUAAAUUUAACAAACUCAAUUCUACAAUAUGACCGAUUCGGAUAAUUGGCGAUUCGGUUAAUCGGCGUUCGGAUAAUCGGCGUUCUACUGUAU